CCCUUAGAUGUCCUGGGCCGCACGCGCGUUACACUGAUGCAUUCAACGAGCUUAUAACCUUGGCCGAGAGGCCUGGGCAAUCUUGUUAACGUGCAUCGUGAUAGGGAUAGAUUAUUGAAAUUAUUAAUCUUGAACGAGGAAUUCCUAGUAAACGCAGAUCAUCAAUCUGCAUUGAUUACGUCCCUGCCCUUUGUACACACCGCCCGUCGCACCUACCGAUUGGAUGGUCCGGUGAAGCCUCGGGAUUUUGGUUCUUGCCGCUUUAUUGUGGCGUGACCGCGAGAACUUGUCUAAACCUUAUCAUCUAGAGGAAGGUGAAGUCGUAACA
rnacentral:rRNA from 1 species